GUCCAGACUCCUACGGGAGGCAGCAGUGGGGAAUAUUGCACAAUGGGGGAAACCCUGAUGCAGCGACGCCGCGUGAGUGAAGAAGUCUUUCGGUAUGUAAAGCUCUAUCAGCAGGGAAGAAAAUGACGGUACCUGACUAAGAAGCCCCGGCUAACUACGUGCCAGCAGCCGCGGUAAUACGUAGGGGGCAAGCGUUAUCCGGAUUUACUGGGUGUAAAGGGAGCGUAGACGGCAUGGCAAGUCAGAUGUGAAAGCCCGGGGCUCAACCCCGGGACUGCAUUUGAAACUGUCAGGCUGGAGUGCAGGAGAGGUAAGUGGAAUUCCUAGUGUAGCGGUGAAAUGCGUAGAUAUUAGGAGGAACACCAGUGGCGAAGGCGGCUUACUGGACUGUAACUGACGUUGAGGCUCGAAAGCGUGGGGAGCAAACAGGAUUAGAUACCCUAGUAC
rnacentral:rRNA from 1 species